UCCCUUGUAGCUCAGCUGGUAGAGCAGAUGACUGUUAAUCAUCAGGUCACUGGUUCGAGUCCGGCCAGGGAG
rnacentral:tRNA from 1 species